UGAGUAUUAGAUUUCCAUUAUUAUCUC
rnacentral:piRNA from 1 species